rnacentral:rRNA from 1 species
GACAGAGGGGGCAAGCGUUGCUCGGAAUUACUGGGCGUAAAGGGCGCGUAGGCGGGAUGGCAAGUCGGUCGUGAAAUCCUUCGGCUCAACCGAAGAACGUCGAUCGAUACUGCUGUUCUUGAGGGUUGCAGAGGAGACUGGAAUUCCCGGUGUAGCGGUGGAAUGCGUAGAUAUCGGGAAGAACACCGGUGGCGAAGGCGGCUCGCUGGGCCAAUGCUGACGCUGAGGCGCGAAAGCGUGGGGAGCAAACAGG